rnacentral:rRNA from 1 species
UACGUAGGGGGCUAGCGUUGCUCGGAAUCACUGGGCGUAAAGCGCACGUAGGCGGAUUGUUAAGUCAUGGGUGAAAUCCUGGAGCUCAACUCCAGAACUGCCUUUGAUACGGGCGAUCUUGAGUCCGGGAGAGGUGAGUGGAACUGCGAGUGUAGAGGUGAAAUUCGUAGAUAUUCGCAAGAACACCAGUGGCGAAGGCGGCUCACUGGCCCGGUACUGACGCUGAGGUGCGAAAGCGUGGGGAGCAAACAGG